rnacentral:rRNA from 1 species
CUACGGGAUGCAGCAGUGAGGAAUAUUGCACAAUGGGGGGAACCCUGAUGCAGCAACGCCGCGUGGAGGAUGACACUUUUCGGAGCGUAAACUCCUUUUAUAUAGGAAGAAGAUGACGGUACUAUAUGAAUAAGCGCCGGCUAACUCCGUGCCAGCAGCCGCGGUAAUACGGAGGGCGCAAGCGUUACUCGGAAUCACUGGGCGUAAAGAGCGUGUAGGCGGAUUAAAAAGUCAGAAGUGAAAUCCUAUAGCUUAACUAUAGAACUGCUUCUGAAACUCUUAAUCUAGAAUAUGGGAGAGGUAGAUGGAAUUUCUGGUGUAGGGGUAAAAUCCGUAGAGAUCAGAAGGAAUACCGAUUGCGAAGGCGAUCUACUAGAACAUUAUUGACGCUGAGACGCGAAAGCGUGGGGAGCAAACUGGAUUAGAUACCCGGGUAGUC